UUUCAGAGAAAACCACCACUCCUGCUCCUCCAAAGACACCUCUUCACGUCAUCUUGUUGCCUUGUAUAUUUCUAUUUGUUGUUGUGUUUCUACUGGUUUCGCUGGUUCUACUGGUGAAAAAACAUUGCCAGAAGUCAAAAGAUCAGAGAGGAGAUGACAUCACAUACAGUGACAUCCAAAUAACUCAGCUACAGCAGCAGAAAGUUAAACCCAGCAGAGAGCAUUUAGCAACUUCAAUCUACACAGAUGUGAGAACAGAGGAACUCAGCUAUGGACAAAUCAACAUCAGAAAACAAAGAACUAGAG